GCCCGCACCCUCCGUGUCCCUGCGCUGCCGCAAGCGCAGCCGGCCCCGCUCGUCGCCCCGGUCCUCACGGCAGUCCAGCCCCCCACCAUCCCUCCGUGCCCACCUCUGCCCCCCACGCUCUUUGCAUGCCCUGACGCUGAGAGCGGCCCAUAUUCCCUUCCCCAAAACACCCAGACGUACUGCCAUACCCGCCGACCGCAGCCAGCCCCUUGUCCCGCGUCCCCAUCCACGCCAUGGCCGGAGCGCCCACCCCAAGUCAGGCGCGGCUACCCCCGGUGCCUUCACUUCCCGGCUACCCUGUGCACCCACCCACAACCCACAUUCGCAGCAGUACCACACCCCGAAUGCCGAGCUCCCAUCCGUACCGAAACCCCGUCCCUUCGCACAGCCAGAGCACCCGUCCUUUCCCGGUGAGGCUGGUGUGAAUCCGUGGGAGCGAAGCAGUGCCAGAGGCUCUUGUUGGGAACAUGUGUGAAAACUUGCCUUACCGCAGCUAAGUGCAUCACGGACAUUUUCUUCAAAAGCAAAUGGGUAUGAGCUGCCCAUUAAUACAUUUAAGCUAAAAAUGAGAUGAUUUUUAAACGUAAGAAAAUCUAUUAUUUGAAAAGUACUUUCAGUAGAGGUAACAGGACAGAAACAAUAAUUACCGUUAGGAUGGAGCUCUUCAUUUCCAAAAAAGAACAAACAUUUCCAAAAAGAGCAAACUGAUGUGGUAGUGUUUGUAACAUGGGACAAGAUCUGAUGGCCAGGAAGUUCCAUCGGUCCUAUGUGGUGUGAUCUAGACUAACCCCAGGUUCUGGGAGCAGAGUUGCUAUAAAGCUCUGACGUGAGUAACAGGACUUUAAGGAAAAAUAGAAAGUGUCCAUCCUUGCUGGUGGCCUGAAGCCACCUGAAAAAACUGGAGGAAAAUCUGUACCAGAUGAGCUCUGAUGUGACUUGAAAAAAAUCUUUAAUCGAGAACAAAAAUCUGUUAGAUCUGCAGACCGUGAUAGCCAAGAACCUGUUGCAGAGGUGGGCAGGAGCUGAGAUGUGUAACAACGCAUUUAUAUGAAAGACAAGAGAACACGAUCACAUGAACAAGGAGAAGAAUUUCAGUGCCUUGGUGAAUGCUUAAUGCCCUGAGGCAUAGGCAUUGUAAACAUACCGAGUAUUGGAGCAAGUGAUAUACAGUGACUUGGAAAAAGAGACAGGCAGAGACACAGAUAAGUGCAAGGCAUUAAUAGAGCUGAUUGCAAGACAUGAGACAAAUAAGUGAUUUUCAGAAGAGUGAGGAAAUAGUUUUGUG